GUUUUCGAUGCUACGGUUGCUACCAUGCCGAGAUACAAGAGCAAGAGCGCUUCCAAGGGCACUUUGUCCCUUUGCCGGACGGGCAACCCAAGAAAGACCCGCUUCAGACCCAUAUAGUGUGAUUCUUUCCUUGUCAGCAGUUGGAUCCUGGUCAUCAAUGACCUCAUUUGCAGGACCAAUUAUGUACUCUUCAAUGGAUGUCUCUCCCCCAACACCCAAGCCUUCAACA
rnacentral:misc_RNA from 1 species